UAUUAAAAAGGAACCACAUAACCGAUAACAUCAAACAGCCGGAACUAUUAACAAAUGAACAACACUAACAGCUGUAACAACAAGAACUGGGAACAACAAAGAUCGGGUCCCGGUUCCGGAACCAGCGUUCCUACCUGAGACGAUCUCCUCUCCCUCAUUUUGGCCACUAGAUGGCCUUCAUUAGCCCGUGUCGGCUGUCAAGGCCCCUCUCCCCAUCAAUGGAUUUUUAGCCUGACAUUGUUUUUCUUCAAUAUAAUAUAGUAUAAUUGGUUUGCAUUUCUUUAAAAUUAAUAAUAACUAAUAUUAAUUCUUAUCGCAUUUAUCUAUGCAGCCAUUUACAACCUCAUGCAAGCGGACAUUUUUCUCAACUUCACCAGGUUAUCUCCACAUAGCUAUUUACGUUCUCCUGCAAGUGAACAUUUAUUUUCGACUUCAACAAGCUCAUAUAAUUGUUGCGUUCUCUUAUUGUUAUUGACCUUUGACCUUAAUUUCUAAAAUUUCAUUUUUCUUACAGAAUAUGUUUUAUUUAUCAAUAUUAAAGUGAGCAGGCGACGAAAACACUGCCAAAGGUUAUUGCCAGUCGCCGCGAAAAAAAGGGAAGGGAGACAAUUGUAAUGUGAUCGUUGCACCAAUGGAAACAAGAUACCCACAUAAAUGAACCUAGAACCGGGUAUGCCAAAAAAUCAGUCGCGCAGCAGGUAUGUGAGGUAUUAAAUCGCUUGAAUCUACCUUACCCUACCUAAAGAGCUCUCUAGGGGCGGUAAGGGGCGAUAGAAAGGGUAUUUGAAGGUAUGUGUUGUUCGUGCAAAUGCAAAAUUUUAAACUUUUAUAUUUACUAGGUGCAAGAACAUUUGGGUCGGUCACUCGCUGUUCGCCCUUUAGAAAGUUUUCUUGAAUGAAACUAGGCCCAGGGGUCUCGAACAUGAGUCUACGUCUGAAUCUGCCUGCUACUCGAGGCGAGGGUGGACGACAUGGAACUGACUCACUCGGAUUAUGUGGGCGUGGUACGGGACUGACAGCCAAAAAGAAAAAAAUUUAACCUGGCUUCGAGCACGGCACGCCCGGCGUUGACCGCUGACUAAAUUGAACUCCCUGCUGUAUAUUUGGGCAGCAACAUCAUCGGAAUUUCGGCACACACAUACAUGUACGAGGCGCGCACCGUUGCUGCCCAUCUGCACAGCAGCACUCUAGGGUCAUCGACCCAGUUGUAGGCCAAGGGCAUUAGCAAGGGCAUCCGAUCCGCUCUCUUCCUAAUCUCUCUAUGAGCGAAUCGGUUGCCUAAUCAUGAUCGCUCAAUGGCGUUACCCCUGUUAGCUGUUAGUUUGAUACUCCUUACAUAUAUAUCCACAAAUGCAUAAUCACUUAAUUGCAGUAAACGACCUAGUAAUGGUGGGGAAAGUGUUGUUCUUUAGUUGUGGGCUUGUCUAGGAGUUUUUUUUUUAUUUUUUCUUUCUUUUAAAUCACUUGAGGACUGAAAGUUUGUUGAUAUUUAUUUUUAGGUUUUUAUUUUGUUGAUGCACUUAUGAUUUGCUUUCUCGUGUAGUGACCAAUGGCCAAGUUGGUUAUUGUUCGGAAAAACCUCUCCAUUCCCUUUCUUGUUAAGCGACUAAUAAUCAUUCGUUCACCUUCGCGGCGAAUUCUAUAAGCUAGUUUGUUCACGCGCUCCCAUUCUCUUUUUUACUCUCCCACAUACCCACACCUGCAAGCUGCGCAAUACAGACAACAACGUUCCGUGUGUCUGCUAUAUACUUCUAGAACAUUCGACUAUGCUGCCCAAAAAUUUAGCUUCGCCAAAUUGACUUUCAAUCGCCUCGUCAAUUAAGUUAGAAGCGCCGAUCAGAAACUGCACAAUUUAAAAAGUUGAAACAGUGUUUUAAACUCGUGUCCGUUAUAUAAGACCCCGUUGCUUCUCUUGUAAAAUCCAAAACUCAAGUUCUCGAAUCGCGAGACAGCCACAAAGGCGAUCGCAUCCGAAUUGCAGAAGCAUUGAGUGGUGUGCCGGAUAAAAUGUGAAAGCGGUUAAUAUUAGAUAACGCGAGUAGCCAGCUUCUGCCAGCGGUUUCGCGUUGUUCCCUUCCGCGUGCUUGCACAUACCGGACGAGUCUGGCUGGCCAUUCUGGCCGCCUAAUCCCACGAUAGUCUCUAAUAUGUAAGAGCAAGAAAUUCAGUGAACCGCUCAUGCACACGGAACAGAAAACGUGUGACCUAUGAGCGCUAACUUGGUGCCAUUGGCAGGAACACCUGAACCGUCGUCACCAGCUUAACGCAGUGAGCGCUGCUCCAAAUGGACUCAGCGCACAUGAAACCUUUCAUUGUUUAUUAAACAUUUAAAUUUUCCGUCCAUAUUAAUUACAGUCAAGUUUUUAAUUUUUUUUUAUGUUAAUACAUUAUUUUAAAUGAAUUGUUUAUAAUAUUAAAACUUUUUUGCUGAUACUUGGCAGUUUCUUGGCAUGCGCGCAUAUUAAUGGCUAGGUUGGGAUUUUAAGUGGAUUUUAUCGACUGAAAAACAUUGCACAGAGGCAAGCGCAACCUUCUCGGCUCUCGCACAAAAGCUGUCUCUCGCCUAGAUUGUGAGAUGGACUGGCCAAUAGUUUAGUUAACUCCUGCUCGCUUAGCCGGUGUCUCAAUAAAUUGAUAGGCGCCUGUGACGGGAUUGAACAAAUAUUUUUGUUACCAGUCAAUAAAUAUUAAAUCGGGCAGCAGUUUGCAGGUGAAGGCUAUUGGAAUUACCUUCUCCGAGCUAUAUCCUUAGAUGGCCUUGUAUUCUCCAGAUGAGUUUUCUCUACCUUUUAGUGUUUCUGUUAAUUAAUUAACAGCACCGAUAAUCAGGCCUAAGGUCCUCGAAACUAGGUUGGUGUCUCGGCGAACCGGCCAAACUUUAAUUCAAAUCCCUAUUAAUUCUCCUUAAUCACUAUAACUAAACUAAUCUAUCAAAUUACUAAAUUAAAUGGAAAUGAAAGGAAUCUAAAAAUUCAAUAUCAAUAAGAAAGGCUGAACAACCAAUUUUAAAGCGAAAUAUGUGACACAAAAUAGGGGUAGAAGUUCUUGCGACGAUUAGUAUGCGAUAAGAGCUGUAGUAGAAAAUUAUUAUUAAAUGGAAUAUACAACAAAUUAAAAAUAGUUGCAUUAAGCGUAUUGAGCAUUAUGCGUACUGAGCAGAAUUGAUGACACCACCGCACCAAUUACAGACUCUUUCAAAGCGAACACGAAGCUAAUUCUGACCGGAGAACCCACAAAGGGUUUCCAGGAGCUUAAGAAGGCGCUCUUAUGUGCACCCGUAUUGGCGCAUCCUGAUUUCCGCAAGCACUUUUAUAUACAAUGCGAUGCAAGCCAACUUGAAAUAGGAGGGGUGUGUAGAAAUGCCGUGUACAACUGGUUCGCUUAACGUCAGUUUUAUCAUUGAUUUUUAUUAAAAUGAAAUGAACUAAUAGUAGCUAACAAAUUCGACUUAGCAUAAUUAUGUUAAAGAUAACAUAGUCUCAGAGGGAGAGCGCACUCAUGCAUAUAUGGUUGCAUUAAAGUAUUAGUGCGCGUACAGCCAUGUACUUCUCGUACAUAGCGCCCAGGCAUUGCCCGUAGGAUGCAUGGUCAGUGCUUAUGCCGUAAGUAGGCUUAAGACGGUGGCCGUCAAGUGGCUGAACAUAUUACAUUUAAUCGAGUCAUUGAC